rnacentral:lncRNA from 1 species
AAAAAAACAACAAAAAAAAAAAAAAAAAAACAAAACAAACCCAGAGGCAGUUGCCAUUAUAUAUGCACGUCUUUCAACUAUCUAUAUAAUAUACUUAAUUAUCGCUAUUUUGUGCAUUUUUCUUUUGAUCUUUUUUUGUGAUAAUUUUCAUAUCAGGCUUCUCGCUUGAGAUGGAAAAAUUAUCGCUAGAAACUAAGGAGGCCACGUGGCGUUGCUAACGAAAUUGACAUGAAAUUGACAACGUCCUCAUAGUUAAAAUAGCGAUAAACAGAUUAGGUUGGUUCCCUCCGUAAAACAUCCAGUAUGCCUUCGGAAUAUACAAGUAUUGUCAAGAAUUUCAAUAACGGCCGGGAAACAGACUAUAAACAGAUUAUCAUUGGUCAUUUCAACUCGAUUGCUUUUCUCACUUUCGCUGUACCAGCUCAAGCGAGAAAAUCAAUCUCGUUGAGAUGACCAACGAUAAUCUAUAAAUAUACACAAAAGGACCCGAACUCACAACCUCAGUGUUGACAGGCUAGUGAUACAGUAGUUGGUCGCCC